CACAGGGAGGAACGAUCAGUGACCACCAGCGACUAUGAAGUUUGGAUCAUGUUUGCUUUGGGAAACAACAGGUAACAAAGUUGUAAAAAAUCUGACAUCAAAGUA